GAUGAACGCUGGCGGCGUGCCUAAUACAUGCAAGUCGAGCGAACAGACGAGGAGCUUGCUCCUCUGACGUUAGCGGCGGACGGGUGAGUAACACGUGGAUAACCUACCUAUAAGACUGGGAUAACUUCGGGAAACCGGAGCUAAUACCGGAUAAUAUAUUGAACCGCAUGGUUCAAUAGUGAAAGACGGUUUUGCUGUCACUUAUAGAUGGAUCCGCGCCGCAUUAGCUAGUUGGUAAGGUAACGGCUUACCAAGGCAACGAUGCGUAGCCGACCUGAGAGGGUGAUCGGCCACACUGGAACUGAGACACGGUACAGACUCCGACGGGAGGCAGCAGUAGGGAAUCUUCCGCAAUGGGCGAAAGCCUGACGGAGCAACGCCGCGUGAGUGAUGAAGGUCUUCGGAUCGUAAAACUCUGUUAUUAGGGAAGAACAAAUGUGUAAGUAACUAUGCACGUCUUGACGGUACCUAAUCAGAAAGCCACGGCUAACUACGUG
rnacentral:rRNA from 1 species